ACAAAACACUGCUGGCAGAAACAGAAGUUCCAAAAUCUAGAACAUUACUCUUCUAGAAAUGGCCUCAAAAUAGAGAAAAAAAUUUGUUCCAGAUGGUCCCUCAGCUCUUCCAAGCUCAAUGGAUGUUGUGAGGGCUACAGCAGAUGCAUCUUCCACUAACAAAUGUUCUAUCAGUAGCCAGAUACAACUGGACACAACCCAAUCUAUUUGAUAACAAGUUGUGGAUUUCCUAAUAAAAACUAAGAAAUGUCAUGUGUC